UCUGCCCCUAAAGGCAUGGCAGGUGUGGCUGCUGUGUCACAUGUGCAUCAGUAGGUGGCAGAGAGGAGAGAGGCUAUGUCUAAGUUCAGUGUUCUGACCUGUUUAUAACAUAACAGUGUUCAUAAACAUCUGAAUGAUUAAUAGCCUAACA
rnacentral:snoRNA from 1 species